GUCUAUGGCCAUACCACCCUGAACGAACCCAAUCUCGUCUGAUCUCGGAAGCAAAGCAGGGUUGGGUCUGGUUAGUACUUGGAUGGGAGACUGCCUGGGAAUACUGGGUGCUGUAGGCU
rnacentral:rRNA from 1 species